rnacentral:rRNA from 1 species
GAUGAACGCUGGCGGCGUGCUUAACACAUGCAAGUCGAACGGAAAGGCCCAAGCUUGCUUGGGUGCUCGAGUGGCGAACGGGUGAGUAACACGUGGGUGAUCUGCCCUGCACUUUGGGAGAAGCCUGGGAAACUGGGUCUAAUACCGGAUAGGACCAUCGUGUAGUGUCGGUGGUGGAAAGUUUUUCGGUGUGGGAUGAGCUCGCGGCCUAUCAGCUUGUUGGUGGGGUAAUGGCCUACCAAGGCGUCGACGGGUAGCCGGCCUGAGAGGGUGUACGGCCACAUUGGGACUGAGAUACGGCCCAGACUCCUACGGGAGGCAGCAGUGGGGAAUAUUGCACAAUGGGCGCAAGCCUGAUGCAGCGACGCCGCGUGGGGGAUGACGGCCUUCGGGUUGUAAACUCCUUUCGCCAAGGACGAAGCGUUUUGUGACGGUACUUGGAGAAGAAGCACCGGCUAACUACGU